UUGGACUCUUUGUCAAUGGCACACAUCAAAAACAAACUCAUACUUCUGGGCAUCCAUUGGCUACCUCAAAAUAUUUAGACUCAAUAAAAACAAAGUGCUCCUUCCUUAUAAAAAAAAGAAGAGGAAAAGCAAUAGAGUCACCUUCAUACUCUUGCAUACCUGCUAGCUUGCAGGAUCUAGCUUUCUGUUCCAAAUGGAGUCCUAUAUCUUUCUUGCCAUGUACCUCGAAAGACCCAACCC
rnacentral:lncRNA from 1 species